rnacentral:rRNA from 1 species
UACGAAGGGUGCAAGCGUUACUCGGAAUUACUGGGCGUAAAGCGUGCGUAGGUGGUUUGUUAAGUCUGUCGUGAAAUCCCCGGGCUCAACCUGGGAAUGGCGAUGGAAACUGGGCAGCUAGAGUGUGUCAGAGGAUGGUGGAAUUCCCGGUGUAGCGGUGAAAUGCGUAGAGAUCGGGAGGAACAUCAGUGGCGAAGGCGGCCAUCUGGGACAACACUGACGCUGAAGCACGAAAGCGUGGGGAGCAAACAGG